rnacentral:lncRNA from 1 species
UCUGAGACACAGGGGAAUUUGCUGGAGAAAUGUUGGCUGAGCAUGAGUAAGGAAUGGUGGUACUCAGCCCCCGAGUUGACAGGAGAUCAAUGGCUUCAGACAGUCUUGAGUCUCCCAUCGUGGGAUAAAAUUGUAUCAGGCAACGUAACCCUUCAGGAUGUUCAAAAGAACAAAUUCUUGAUGAGAGUUAAUAUUCUGGACAAUCCUUUCUAAUAAUUAUGAAUGAGAACAAAGAUUGCAGUAAGGAC